rnacentral:rRNA from 1 species
UACGAAGGGGGCUAGCGUUGCUCGGAAUCACUGGGCGUAAAGGGCGCGUAGGCGGCGCGGAUAGUCGGCGGUGAAAGCCCGGAGCUCAACUCCGGGUCGGCCGUCGAUACUUCCGGGCUUGAGCACUGUAGAGGCAGAUGGAAUUCCCGGUGUAGCGGUGAAAUGCGCAGAUAUCGGGAGGAACACCAGUAGCGAAGGCGGCUCGCUGGGCCGUUCCUGACGCUGAGACGCGAAAGCUAGGGGAGCGAACAGG